GGGGCCAUAGCUCAGCUGGGAGAGCGCCUGCUUUGCAAGCAGGAGGUCGCCGGUUCGAUCCCGGCUGGCUCCACUA
rnacentral:tRNA from 1 species